rnacentral:rRNA from 1 species
CACGUAGGGCGCAAGCGUUGUCCGGAAUUAUUGGGCGUAAAGAGCUCGUAGGCGGUCUGUUGCGUCCGCUGUGAAAACUCGGGGCUUAACCCCGAGCCUGCAGUGGAUACGGGCAGACUAGAGGUAGGUAGGGGAGAAUGGAAUUCCCGGUGUAGCGGUGAAAUGCGCAGAUAUCGGGAGGAACACCGGUGGCGAAGGCGGUUCUCUGGGCCUUACC